AAAAAGGAAGCUAUAAUAGCAAUUAAUUUCGACUUAAUCUUUGAGUAUAAAUCUACUCCCUUUUUA
rnacentral:tRNA from 1 species